rnacentral:rRNA from 1 species
GACGUAGGGUGCGAGCGUUGUCCGGAUUUAUUGGGCGUAAAGGGUGCGUAGGCGGUUGAGUAAGUUGGAUGUGAAAUCUUGGGGCUUAACCUCAAAAUUGCAUUCAAUACUGCUUUGCUUGAGCGCUGUAGAGGAGAUUGGAAUUUACGGUGUAGCAGUGAAAUGCGUAGAUAUCGUAAGGAACGCCAGUGGCGAAAGCGAAUCUCUGGGCAGCAGCUGACGCUGAGGCACGAAAGCGUGGGGAGCGAACAGG